rnacentral:rRNA from 1 species
GAUUAGUGGCGACGGGUGAGUAACACGUGGGCAAUCUGCCCUGCACUCUGGGACAAGCCCUGGAAACGGGGUCUAAUACCGGAUGACAUCCCCUCUCGCAUGGGAGGGGGUUGAAAGCUCCGGCGGUGCAGGAUGAGCCCGCGGCCUAUCAGCUAGUUGGUGAGGUAGAAGCUCACCAAGGCGACGACGGGUAGCCGGCCUGAGAGGGCGACCGGCCACACUGGGACUGAGACACGGCCCAGACUCCUACGGGAGGCAGCAGUGGGGAAUAUUGCACAAUGGGCGAAAGCCUGAUGCAGCGACGCCGCGUGAGGGAUGACGGCCUUCGGGUUGUAAACCUCUUUCAGCAGGGAAGAAGCGCAAGUGACGGUACCUGCAGAAGAAGCGCCGGCUAACUACGUGCCAGCAGCCGCGGUAAUACGUAGGGCGCAAGCGUUGUCCGGAAUUAUUGGGCGUAAAGAGCUCGUAGGCGGCUUGUCACGUCGGUUGUGAAAGCCCGGGGCUUAACCCCGGGUCUGCAGUCGAUACGGGCAGGCUAGAGUGUGGUAGGGGAGAUCGGAAUUCCUGGUGUAGCGGUGAAAUGCGCAGAUAUCAGGAGGAACACCGGUGGCGAAGGCGGAUCUCUGGGCCAUUACUGACGCUGAGGAGCGAAAGCGUGGGGAGCGAACAGGAUUAGAUACCCUGGUAGUCCACGCCGUAAACGGUGGGAACUAGGUGUUGGCGACAUUCCACGUCGUCGGUGCCGCAGCUAACGCAUUAAGUUCCCCGCCUGGGGAGUACGGCCGCAAGCUAAAACUCAAAGGAAUUGACGGG